AUGAAUGCUGGCGGCGUGCCUAAUACAUGCAAGUCGAGCGAACAGACGAGGAGCUUGCUCCUCUGACGUUAGCGGCGGACGGGUGAGUAACACGUGGAUAACCUACCUAUAAGACUGGGAUAACUUCGGGAAACCGGAGCUAAUACCGGAUAAUAUAUUGAACCGCAUGGUUCAAUAGUGAAAGACGGUUUUGCUGUCACUUAUAGAUGGAUCCGCGCCGCAUUAGCUAGUUGGUAAGGUAACGGCUUACCAAGGCAACGAUGCGUAGCCGACCUGAGAGGGUGAUCGGCCACACUGGAACUGAGACACGGUCCAGACUCCUACGGGAGGCAGCAGUAGGGAAUCUUCCGCAAUGGGCGAAAGCUUGACGGAGCAACGCCGCGUGAGUGAUGAAGGUCUUCGGAUCGUAAAACUCUGUUAUUAGGGAAGAACAAAUGUGUAAGUAACUAUGCACGUCUUGACGGUACCUAAUCAGAAAGCCACGGCUAACUACGUG
rnacentral:rRNA from 1 species